UCUUAGCAAAACCGAUUUGGUCCUAGUCCUUUUCUUAACUUUAUCUAUAAUGAUACAUGCUAGUUAAUCUAACAACACCGUGAGUAUAAUGAGAAUAAAAACUAUUAGUGAUCAAUCCUUAAUGGUAUCAGAAUAAGAAUUCAAAUACACCUAGAAAAACCACACCUGCAGUACUUAAUAUUUGUUAAUAAGCAAAAGCUUGACCAAGUAAUAGAUAAAAGAAUUGGUAAAUUAUGUGCCAGCCACCGCGGUUAUACAUAAAAUUCUAGUUAAGAAAAUACGGUAAAAACUGUGGUAAAACAUACUAUAACUUCCUGAAAUAAAAAUAAACUUUGGCAGUAAUAAGCUAUACAGCAAUAUAAUAUCAAUCACGAUAACUUAAUUUCAGAUUAUUGACCCCACUAAAGCUCCAAAAUAAACUGGGAUUAGAUACCCCACUAUAUGAGCAAUAAAAUACUACUACACACCAGAGAACUACGAACUAAAGUUUAAAACUCAAAGGACUUGGCGGUUUUCUACACCUACCUGGAGGAGCUUGCUAUCUAACCGAUAACCCACGAAAAACCUUAACCAGCA
rnacentral:rRNA from 19 species